rnacentral:rRNA from 1 species
GUGCCAGCAGCCGCGGUAAUACGGAGGAUCCGAGCGUUAUCCGGAUUUAUUGGGUUUAAAGGGUGCGCAGGCGGCUUUGCAAGUCAGCGGUCAAAUCGUGGAGCUCAACUCCAUUCCGCCGUUGAUACUGCCGGGCUUGAUUGCGGUUGAGGUUUGCGGAAUUCGUCGUGUAGCGGUGAAAUGCAUAGAUAUGACGAAGAACCCCGAUUGCGUAGGCAGCAGACCAAGCCGUAAAUGACGCUCAUGCACGAAAGUGCGGGGAUCGAACAGGAUUAGAUACCCUGGUAGUCCGCACAGUAAACGAUGAAUACUUGCUUUUGGCGAUAUAUUGUCAGAGGCAAAGCGAAAGCGAUAAGUAUUCCACCUGGGGAGUACGCCGGCAACGGUGAAACUUAAAGGAAUUGACGG